ACCUCCAAGCUCCACACAGUAAUCUCCGCUUCAGUCGCAUUCUGCCUGUUCAGCGCAUUCUGCCUGUAGGGAGUCCGACUCAUGAAAGGGCAUUCCACGAUCCGUGAUUCAGAAGAAUCAAGAUUGUGGCGUCUAUAAAUGGCAUUGUCCAUAGAAGCCAUGGGCAAGUAGCAAAUGUAUGUUAUUGGUUGCAGCUUUAACCUGGAUUCAAGUGGAUAAAGCUAGCUUCACUUCAAAGUGGCCACAGAUAGGACAAGGGACAUAGACAACAGAAAAUAAUGUUUCAGAACUAGAGACCUAUUGUUGAUGUUGUCAGGACCCAUUAAAGCAAUAAAACAUGUUAACACCCCA